UACGGGGGGGGCAAGCGUCGUUCGGAAUUACUGGGCGUAAAGGGCUCGUAGGCGGCCAACUAAGUCGGACGUGAAAUCCCUCGGCUUAACCGGGGAACUGCGUCCGAUACUGGAUGGCUUGAGUGUGGGAGAGGGAUGCGGAAUUCCAGGUGUAGCGGUGAAAUGCGUAGAUAUCUGGAGGAACACCGGUGGCGAAGGCGGCAUCCUGGACUACUACUGACGCUGAGGAGCGAAAGCCAGGGGAGCAAACGGG
rnacentral:rRNA from 1 species